AGUUUUAACUGAGCGUUCAGUUACUUGACGUAGACCCGAAACCGGGCGACCUACCCAUGAGCAGGAUGAAGCGAAAGUAAAAUUUCGUGGAGGUCCGAACCCACGAGCGUUGAAAAGCUCGGGGAUGACUUGUGGGUAGCGGUGAAAUUCCAAUCGAGCCCGGAGAUAGCUGGUUCUCCCCGAAAUAGCUUUAGGGCUAGCCUCAAGGUGAGAGAUACGGAGGUAGAGCACUGAAUGUCCUAGGGGGUAUUGCACCUACCGAAGACUAUCAAACUCCGAAUGCCGUCAUCUUAUACUUGGGAGUCAGACUGUGGGUGAUAAGAUUCAUAGUCGAAAGGGCAACAGCCCAGAUCGUCAGCUAAGGUCCCUAAAUGUAAGUUAAGUGGUAAAGGAUGUGGGAUUGCACAGACAACCAGGAUGUUGGCUUAGAAGCAGCCACUCAUUCAAAGAGUGCGUAAUAGCUCACUGGUCGAGUGAUCCUGCGCCGAAGAUUUCCGGGGCUAAAACUUACUACCGAAGCUACGGCAUCAGUAAUGAUGGGUAGGGGAGCUUCCCAUACGGGUUGAAGCAUGACCGUAAGGACAUGUGGACAGUAUGGGAGUGAGAAUGUUGGCAUGAGUAGCGAGAUGUGGGUGAGAAUCCCACAGGCCGUAAACCCAAGGUUUCCAGGGGAAGGUUCGUCCGCCCUGGGUUAGUCGGGACCUAAGCUGAGGCCGAAAGGCGUAGGUGAUGGACAACAGGUUGAUAUUCCUGUACUACCGAUAACCGUUUGAGAGAAGGGAUGACACAGUAGGAUAAGCUAAGCACACUGUUGGUUAUGUGUGCCCAAGCAUUGAGGCAGUCAAAGUAGGCAAAUCCGCUUUGAUAAUGCUGGGAUGUGAUGGGGAGCGAAAUUUAGUAGCGAAGUAGCUGAUUUCACACUGUCAAGAAAAGUCUCUAUCGAGGUUAAAGGUACCCGUACCGCAAACCGACACAGGUGGGUGAGGAGAGUAUCCUAAGGCCAGCGAGAGAACUGUUGUUAAGGAACUCGGCAAAAUGACCCCGUAACUUAGGGAUAAGGGGUGCCACCAUCAGGUGGCCGCAGAGAAUAGGCCCAAGCGACUGUUUACCAAAAACAUAGGUUUCUGCUAAGUCGCAAGACGAUGUAUAGGAGCUGACGCCUGCCCGGUGCUGGAAGGUUAAGGGGAUCUGUUAGAGCAAUCGAAGCAGUGAACUUAAGCCCCAGUAAACGGCGGCCGUAACUAUAACGGUCCUAAGGUAGCGAAAUUCCUUGUCGGGUAAGUUCCGACCCGCACGAAAGGCGUAACGAUUUGGGCACUGUCUCAACAACAGACUCGGUGAAAUUGUAAUUCCGGUGAAGAUGCCGGAUACCUGCGACAGGACGGAAAGACCCCAUGGAGCUUUACUGUAGCUUGACAUUGGGUCUUGGUACUACAUGUACAGGAUAGGUGGGAGGCUUUGAAACCAGGACGCCAGUUUUGGCGGAGCCAUCCUUGGGAUACCACCCUUGUAGUACUGGGACUCUAACCAUAGGCCAUGAAUCUGGUCUUGGGACACUGUCAGGUGGGCAGUUUGACUGGGGCGGUCGCCUCCCAAAAGGUAACGGAGGCGCUCAAAGGUUCUCUCAGUACGGUCGGAAAUCGUACGUAGAGUGUAAAGGCAAAAGAGAGCUUGAUUGCAAGACAUACAGGUCGAGCAAGGAUGAAAAUCGGACUUAGUGAUCCGGUGGUUCUGCGUGGAAGGGCCAUCGCUCAACGGAUAAAAGCUACCCUGGGGAUAACAGGCUUAUCUCCCCCAAGAGUCCACAUCGACGGGGAGGUUUGGCACCUCGAUGUCGGCUCAUCACAUCCUGGGGCUGUAGUAGGUCCCAAGGGUUGGGCUGUUCGCCCAUUAAAGUGGUACGCGAGCUGGGUUCAGAACGUCGUGAGACAGUUCGGUCCCUAUCCGUCGCAGGCGUAGGAAAUUUGAGAAGACCUGUCCUUAGUACGAGAGGACCGGGAUGGACGUACCUCUGGUGUACCAGUUGUCCUGCCAAGGGCAUGGCUGGGUAGCUAUGUACGGAAUGGAUAAGCGCUGAAAGCAUCUAAGCGCGAAGCCAACUUCAAGAUAAGAUUUCCCACCGCAAGGGUAAGACCCCAGAAAGACUAUCUGGUUGA
rnacentral:rRNA from 1 species